rnacentral:rRNA from 1 species
CCUACGGGAGGCAGCAGUGAGGAAUAUUGGUCAAUGGCCGCAGGGCUGAACCAGCCAAGUCGCGUGCGGGAUGACGGUCCUAUGGAUUGUAAACCUCUUUUGUCAGGGAGCAAAGGGCGCCACGUGUGGCGUUUUGCGAGUACCUGAAGAAAAAGCAUCGGCUAACUCCGUGCCAGCAGCCGCGGUAAUACGGAGGAUGCGAGCGUUAGCCGGAUUUCUUGGGUUUAAAGGGUGCGCAGGCGGAAUGUCAAGUCAGCGGUAAAAUGUCGGGGCUCAACCCCGUCGUGCCGUUGAAACUGGCAGUCUUGAGUGAGCGAGAAGUAUGCGGAAUGCGUGGUGUAGCGGUGAAAUGCAUAGAUAUCACGCAGAACUCUGAUUGCGAAGGCAGCAUACCGGCGCUCAACUGACGCUCAUGCACGAAAGCGUGGGUAUCGAACAGGAUUAGAUACCCCUGUAGUC